rnacentral:rRNA from 1 species
GGCGGCGUGCUUAACACAUGCAAGUCGAGCGGAAAGGCCCUUCGGGGUACUCGAGCGGCGAACGGGUGAGUAACACGUGAGCAACCUGCCUUCAGCUCUGGGAUAAGCCUGGGAAACUGGGUCUAAUACCGGAUAUGACCUCUGCCUGCAUGGGUGGUGGUGGAAAGAUUUAUCGGCUGAAGAUGGGCUCGCGGCCUAUCAGCUUGUUGGUGGGGUGAUGGCCUACCAAGGCUUUUACGGGUAGCCGGCCUGAGAGGGCGACCGGCCACACUGGGACUGAGACACGGCCCAGACUCCUACGGGAGGCAGCAGUGGGGAAUAUUGCACAAUGGGCGGAAGCCUGAUGCAGCAACGCCGCGUGAGGGAUGACGGCCUUCGGGUUGUAAACCUCUUUCAGCGGGGACGAAGGCGUGAGUGACGGUACCCGCAGAAGAAGCGCCGGCCAACUACGUGCCAGCAGCCGCGGUAACACGUAGGGCGCGAGCGUUGUCCGGAAUUAUUGGGCGUAAAGAGCUCGUAGGCGGUUUGUUGCGUCGAAAGUGAAAAUCCGGGGCUUAACUCCGGACUUGCUUUCGAUACGGGCAGACUAGAGGUAGGCAGGGGAGAGUGGAAUUCCUGGUGUAGCGGUGGAAUGCGCAGAUAUCAGGAGGAACACCGGUGGCGAAGGCGGCUCUCUGGGCCUUACCUGACGCUGAGGAGCGAAAGCGUGGGGAGCGAACAGGAUUAGAUACCCUGGUAGUCCACGCCGUAAACGUUGGGCGCUAGGUGUGGGGGACUUCCACGUUCUCCGUGCCGCAGCUAACGCAUUAAGCGCCCCGCCUGGGGAGUACGGCCGC